GUCACCUGUGCCCUAGCGCCGGCGACUGAGUUUCCUCUGUGCCCUAGUUUUUACUCUCCACGGUUGUACUGUCUAUGUUGUUACUGUGCCCUAGCUGAGGAUUCAAAGGAGGUGCAGCGGGUUUACUAUGGUUUUUGGCUGAGUUUCCAGCAGCAUACAGUUUCAUCUCUUCAAUUGUGGGUCAACAACAAUUCAUCUGGUUUUAGGACUGUGAUUCGAGACGGACAUCUCGACAUCGGAAUUAGUUCGA